rnacentral:misc_RNA from 2 species
AACGCAAGUUGCGCCCGAGGCCACUUGGCCGAGGGCACGCCUGCCUGGGCGUCACGCCAAACACGCUCCCACCCCUCAUCGGGUUGUGGGAUGCGGCAUGUGGCUCCCCGUCUUGCAAGGGGCGGUGGGCCGAAGAUGCGGCUGCCGGCGUAUCGUGCCGGACACAGCGCGUGGUGGGCGAACUCGCUUUACUUACCGCAGUGCAUCCGGCCCAUAGCCGACGUGAUGGCCUUAAGGACCCUAUGAACGGAGCGCAUGACGCUCCGACCGCGACCCCAGGUCAGGCGGGACUACCCGCUGAAUUUAA